UCCCUGGUAGUAUAUCGGCUAGUACACCCGCCUGUCAUACGACCGUCCGCGGGAGAGCGGGGUUCGACUCCCCGCCAAGGAG
rnacentral:tRNA from 1 species